AACGAACGUGGGCGGCGUGGAUUAGGCAUGCAAGUCGAACGAAUCCCGGGGGCAACUCCGGGGGAAGUGGCGAAAGGGGCAGUAAUGCGUGGCUAACCUACCCUGGGGACGGGGAUAGCCUUCCUAACGGAAGGGUAAUACCUGGCGAUGUGGCGAGGGGGCAUCUUCUUGCCAUGAAAUGAGUUUCGCCUCGGGAGGGGGUCACGUGCUAUUAGCUUGUUGGCGGGGUAACGCCCCACCAAGGCUAAGAUGGCUAGCGGGUGUGAGAGCACGACCCGCGCCACUGGCACUGAGACACUGGCCAGACUCCUACGGGAGGCUGCAGUCGAGGAUCUUCGGCAAUGGGCGCAAGCCUGACCGAGCGACGCCGCGUGUGCGAUGAAGGCCUUCGGGUUGUAAAGCACUGUCGAGGGGGAGGAAAGCCCGCAAGGGUCUGACCUAUCCCUGGAGGAAGCACGGGCUAAGUUCGUGCCAGCAGCCGCGGUAAGACGAACCGUGCGAACGUUGUUCGGAUUCACUGGGCUUAAAGGGCGCGUAGGCGGCUUGCCAAGUCAGGGGUGAAAUCUUUCGGCUUAACCGGAAAAGUGCUUCUGAUACUGGCAGGCUGGAGGGAGGUAGGGGCAGAUGGAACUUCCGGUGGAGCGGUGAAAUGCGUAGAUAUCGGAAGGAACGCCGGUGGCGAAAGCGAUCUGCUGGACCUCUUCUGACGCUGAGGCGCGAAAGCCAGGGGAGCAAACGGGAUUAGAUACCCCGGUAGUCCUGGCCCUAAACGAUGGGUACUAGGUAGUGGACUUGACAUGGGUUCACUGCCGAAGCAAAAGUGUUAAGUACCCCGCCUGGGGAGUACGGUCGCAAGAUUA
rnacentral:rRNA from 1 species